rnacentral:rRNA from 1 species
GAUGAACGCUGGCGGCGUGCUUAACACAUGCAAGUCGAGCGGAAAGGCCUCUGCUUGCAGGGGUACUCGAGUGGCGAACGGGUGAGUAACACGUGGGUGAUCUGCCCUGCACUUCGGGAUAAGCCUGGGAAACUGGGUCUAAUACCGGAUAGGACAAUGGUUUGGAUGCUGUUGUGGAAAGUUUUUCGGUGUGGGAUGAGCUCGCGGCCUAUCAGCUUGUUGGUGGGGUAAUGGCCUACCAAGGCGUCGACGGGUAGCCGGCCUGAGAGGGUGUACGGCCACAUUGGGACUGAGAUACGGCCCAGACUCCUACGGGAGGCAGCAGUGGGGAAUAUUGCACAAUGGGCGCAAGCCUGAUGCAGCGACGCCGCGUGGGGGAUGACGGCCUUCGGGUUGUAAACUCCUUUCGCUAGGGACGAAGCGUUUUUGUGACGGUACCUGGAGAAGAAGCACCGGCUAACUACGUG